AUUGAACGCUGGCGGCAUGCUUUACACAUGCAAGUCGAACGGCAGCACGGGGGCAACCCUGGUGGCGAGUGGCGAACGGGUGAGUAAUGCAUCGGAACGUGCCCCGUCGUGGGGGAUAACACAUCGAAAGAUGUGCUAAUACCGCAUACGACCUGAGGGUGAAAGCGGGGGACCGCAAGGCCUCGCGCGAUGGGAGCGGCCGAUGUCUGAUUAGCUAGUUGGUGGGGUAAAGGCCUACCAAGGCGACGAUCAGUAGCUGGUCUGAGAGGACGACCCGCCACACUGGGACUGAGACACGGCCCAGACUCCUACGGGAGGCAGCAGUGGGGAAUUUUGGACAAUGGGGGCAACCCUGAUCCAGCCAUGCCGCGUGCGGGAAGAAGGCCUUCGGGUUGUAAACCGCUUUUGGCAGGAACGAAACGGUGCGGGCGAAUACCCUGUGCUAAUGACGGUACCUGCAGAAUAAGCACCGGCCAACUACGUGCCAGCAGCCGCGGUAACAC
rnacentral:rRNA from 1 species